CUCUGCUUCACUGUACUUUGAACAGAACAUUCUGAGUGUUAUUUGGUAAGGAGGACUUUACAAUUACAACUUCAUUUUUAGUAGCAAAUCCUCGAGGGACGCCAUUGUUAGAGCCUGCAUCUGAGUGACUGCAAGUCAUAGAUUGAAAUUUAGACUUUUUAAAUUUUUAUUUUAUUUAUUUAUUUUUGAGUGCACUGGGUCUUCGUUGCUGCGUGCAGGCUUUUCUCUAGUUGCGGCGAGCAAGAGCUACUUUCCAGAUGCGGUACGAAGGCUUCUCCCUGCGGUGGCAUUUUUUGUUGUGGAGCACAGGCUCUAGAGCACGGGUUUAGUUGCUCUGAGGCAUGUGAGAUCUUCCCAGAUCAGGGGUCAAACCCCUGUCUCCUGCAUUGGCAGAUGGAUUCUUUACCACUGACCCUUCAGCGAAGCCCUGAAAUUUAGACUUAAUCUAUCCGGGAAAGACUGCAGUGUGAUCGUGGGCGUUUUCCUUGCCUUCCAGAACUCCACUUCCAGGAGAGGGCAGGGUGACACCCACUAAGGUUUUAUGACUCACUGCUGUUUUGACACACAGCAUUUUCAGGAGGUGGAGAUUUGAUGGUGAGCAGGGCUUUCUAUCAGUUUCUUCCUCUUUGAAUUAAGGUUUGCAAGAGUCUCGAGGGCUACCUGAACUCCAGUUUAUUCAUCUUGGCUUGGCAACCGGAGGGUGGUGGACUCAGCAGUGCAGAUGGCUCACCAAGUAACAUUUUUGCGUCCUUGUAAGUGCCUAGCACUGUGUGCCCGCUGACCAUAUCCUCAGAUGGUCCUCUUGCUCAUCUUUGUGGUCUCCUGCAGUAGGGCGUCCUGGCUGCAGAGCCUCCUGAUUGGAGACAAGGCAUAACUUGCAGAGAAACAAGCGUCAGUCUGGAGGUGUCCUAGGGGAAUGGAGGCCAGGCACCAGAUGAGGUUUAUUCGCAAGACCAUCAGGUGACCUGAUAGUUCAUUUAGCCCACAGGCACCCUGGCUAUUUGUUAGCUCACACUUCUUUUUGGAAAGGACUCAAACAAAGGCAUAUGCGGCAUUUUUAUGCACACAGGGGCUUUUUGUUCCCAGCUUUCCCGCAUGCAAAUCAUAAUUUUAAAGCAGUUAAACAAAUCUCCUGGUAACCCUGUAUUUUGCAAAGGAAGCAGGGGGACUAGGUGAAAUCACAAGAAUUUUUUACUGUGGGGCAGCAGUUCUGGACAGGGUCUUCUGGGCAGGUGGCUAACCCCUGACUUAAACCUCAACACCUCUCCCGGGCAGGGGAGAUGUUGGAAUUGGCAGGAAGAGGGGAUGAAGUUGGAAAUGAAGGGAGCGGGUGGCGGGCUUCGGUCAACACUAUUGGUUUUUGCUGGAGGGAAGGAAGCGAGAAAAUGUGUCCUGGGCUGACUCACACAGAGAACUGACUGUACCAUACUUUCCCUCCUGAUCAUGGAUAUUCUCCUCCGCGAAUAAACAGGGAAGGAGACAAAGCGGAAAGAAGCCUUCUAAGUAAUUCCAGUAAGCUGUGGCUCCAGCCAGAGCCUAGCCCAGAGCCAGCACACUUCAAAGGCAACACGAUGGACUGUCAGCUGCAGCGUGUCUCUUGGUCUGAGGUAUACAAGGACUUUUCUAACGGGAUUUGAGUAGCUCAAAGAAUCACUGAGAAGGCUGGAUCAAAUCAGGCUUAGAAAAUAUGCUGGGAACAAGAAAAGCCAUGUGCCCUACUGCUUCUGGAAUCCAGAUGUUGCUACCAGUGUUGCUGCUGAAACAAAUUCUCCCUGUCCCCUUUCUUUCUGCCACUUGCUCCUGAUAAAGAUCUGAUGGUUACACCAGCUCACAUGUCCAUGUCCUGGUUGCUGGGGAAUGGAGGAAGCAAGGGUCUGGGCUUUGCAGCCUCUGGUCAGCAGUGUGAGAAAGGGAACACAGAGCUCAGAGAGGGAGAACUUGACCACACCUGAGAAGGGGGAUCAGAUGCUGGGCAGCCAAGAACACAAACAUCAGAAAGUGUCAAGAUAUCUUUUGCAACACUUUAGAGGGUCUUUGGGAGGAUUACAUGAGCUGAUGCAUUUGGGAAGAACUCAGUAGAUGGGGGCUGUUUCUACCAUGUAACUAUUCAUCAUAAUCAACUCCCACAAAGCCACUCUGGGCUUCCCUGGUGGCCCCAAUGGUAAGGAAACUGCCUGCCAAUGCAGGAGAUGCAGGUUCGAUCCCUGGGUUGGGGAGAUCCCCUGAAGUAGGAAACAGCAACCCACUCCAGUAUUCUUGCCUGGAAAAUCCCAUGGACAGAGGAGUCUGGCAGGCUAUAGUCCAUGGGGUCACGAAGUGUCAGAUGUGACUGAGUGACUAAACAACAAAGCCACUCUCCAUCAGUCCAACUUCCCACUCCACGUAUCCAAUCCUGGCCAUCCUGCAAAGUCCAGGUCAAGUCCACACUCAUCAAUAACCUUCUCCAGACUCAGUUUUUCAUCAUCCAACCUUCCCACAGCCCUCUUAUUCCAUUUAGUGCUUAAUUACCUACAGUCUCAUCUUUCUCUGGCAUUUUCCCCCAUGUGUGUGUUACUCUCCCACGUGACCAAAGGGCAGACCUCUCAAAGGAGAUGCUGAUGGCAGCUUCAGCCUCCCACGCGGGGGCUCAAGGGCCUGUCUUCUCUGUGACCUUGAGGUUGCCGUCUUUCCUUUGGUCCAGGGUCGUCCUUGGGAGUGAGCUCUGUGUGCAUUUAUCCUUCACUUGUUCAAGUGUUCAUUCUACUAACAUGUGUCUAUUGAUGGCACAGGUGCAACAUUCGUGAAGAAAGAGUGCAUUCUCAGAGAGUCUUCAGGCCCCUGGCAGAGCGUGUAUUCUGAAAUUGGGGGUCAGAUCGUGCUAAUGUCACAAUGUGAGAGGACCUGCAUUUCUUUCUGGAAGGUUUGGAGGAGAAUCCAUUCCCUUGUCUUUUUCUGGCUCCUAAAAGCUGCCUGCAUCCCUUGGUCUGUGGCUUUCCCUCAGGCUUUAAAACCAGCAAGGACUCACUCUUGAUGCGGUGACGGCACCCCUCCCUCUUGCUGACGGCAGCACAGUAGGUUCUUUCUCUCUCUUUUUUAAGGUUUCGUGUGAUUACAUUGGGUCCAAGCAGGUAAUUCAGAGACUCUCCCAUCUCAGGUUCCUUAACGCAUCUUCAGAGUCUCUUGCAGGAUGAGGAUGUGAGUAUCCUUGAAGGCCUUUUAUUUGACAAACACAGGUAUGCACACAACUAAGACUCCAAACUUGUGCCUCCUCAACAGAGCUCAACUACUGCUCCUGACAGAAGCUUCCGAACCACACACACACACACACCCUUAUUUAAAGAAUAAUGCCCUAGGCACAAGUUCCUUAUAGGAUGCCAGGAGUGCCACAAGACCACACCUAAGUGCCCAAUGGUUGGUGCAGAGAAUCAGGAACUGAGAGGAGGAAGAGGCACUAUGGGUGAGGGGUGGGGGGUGGAGGGAGGCAGGUUGGGAAGAGCCUGGAAGACACAAGUGAUGGAAGCGAUGGUGAAAUCUGGCUCAUUCCAGGGAGCCACAUAUAUCACAGCUCUUUAGCACAGGCCCAAAGCACCCAGGGGUGACUUUCAGCUUGAUCUGUAGCCUCCAAGGCUUGGGAGCUGUGUUGCAGAUGUGGUCCAGAGUCACACAGGCUAGUGGACCAUGUGAGCUCAUUCAGAAAACCUCACACGGCUGCCACAUUGUCUGAGAGUCCCAGCUCCCACUGUAAUAUUUGAGUUGAUACCUGUGACAAUGGUCUCUAGCUCCUUCGAUAUUAGAUGCUUACCAGCCCCCUCCCAAGGGUCCCUUCCAGCUCCUUCAAGCUAUUUCUGUUUCUUUCCUGAGGCUGGGGGCCUCCACACCUGCCCAGGCAAUGAGCAAGACGCGCAUCUCCUCGCCCAGAUUGGGGGAGUUGGCUUCUGUCUUUCAGUUGGAAAUUUGAGAUCAAGGGAAAAAAAACUUACCUGGGGCAGCUGCCCUUUCAGCCAAUGGAUGAGUCAAGAGGAAAGAAGGGAGGUGGUGAGGUCUCAGCCGCUGCAUUAAACACCAGUGACUUUGAGGUGCCCCCUGGAGCCUCUUGCUCAAGAAGGACAGUGGAGAAACCAUACUUCUUGGGAGGACUGAUGACCCUUGGGAGGACCUUGACCAAUAGGCCAAGAGGUAGGAUGAGUAAGGAAGAGAUGAGAGAGUCAUUAUCUUCUGCAAACAAGGAAUACCAUCAGCAAGGCUUUGUGGGCACUCAGGGGACAAGAGAUGGCUUGGAGUGGAGGGCUGGGGUCCAGACACAGGAGACCAGGGAGGAGGCCCAGUAAGACAGACAGAAAAAGUGAUCAGCAGAUCACCUUCCAAACACAAGAGGACAGAAGAGAAACAGCGUACAAAAGACUAAAGUCAAGGUAAAGAGGCUGUAACGCGAGCUGAGUGGCGGUGGCGACUUGGGUCUCUGCCCAUCAGAUAAGACUGCGACUCCUCCGAGUCCUCCAAGCAAAGCAGAAGGGUCAGUACCCACUGCAAAGCUGUGGUGUGCUUUUAUGGCUUUAAUUAAAUCAAAUGAACUAUAAUAACCAGGGCUUCUGUUUGCCUCACUCUCCAAUUCCAAAGGGGCUAUUUUAGCUGUAGGCGCGAUGCUUCUGAGCUGAAAAUCAGAGCUGCACGCAUUUUUUCUCAUUUUUUUUCUUGUACUAGAAGGGCAGGCUGAUUUCUUAAGAGCUGAAUUAAGUAACGGGAACGGAAAUGAGUUACACAUGGCAGCCCCGAGUCUCUAAUCCUAUCACUUCUCUGCAUCUGGG